GGUCAAGUGAAGAAGCGCAUACGGUGGAUGCCUUGGCAGUCAGAGGCGAUGAAAGACGUGGUAGCCUGCGAUAAGCUUUGGGGAGUCGGCAAACAGACUGUGAUCCAGAGAUCUCUGAAUGGGGGAACCCACUCAGCAUAAGCUGAGUAUCUUGUACUGAAUACAUAGGUGCAAGAGGCGAACCAGGGGAACUGAAACAUCUAAGUACCCUGAGGAAAAGAAAUCAACCGAGAUUCCCUUAGUAGUGGCGAGCGAACGGGGAUUAGCCCUUAAGCUUCAUUGAUUUUAGCGGAACGCUCUGGAAAGUGCGGCCAUAGUGGGUGAUAGCCCCGUACACGAAAAUCUCUUAUCAAUGAAAUCGAGUAGGACGGAGCACGAGAAACUUUGUCUGAAUAUGGGGGGACCAUCCUCCAAGGCUAAAUACUACUGACUGACCGAUAGUGAACUAGUACCGUGAGGGAAAGGCGAAAAGAACCCCGGAGAGGGGAGUGAAAUAGAUCCUGAAACCGUAUGCGUACAAGCAGUGGGAGCCUACUUUGUUAGGUGACUGCGUACCUUUUGUAUAAUGGGUCAGCGACUUAUAUUCAGUGGCGAGCUUAACCGAAUAGGGGAGGCGUAGCGAAAGCGAGUCUUAAUAGGGCGUUUAGUCGCUGGGUAUAGACCCGAAACCGGGCGAUCUAUCCAUGAGCAGGUUGAAGGUUAGGUAACACUGACUGGAGGACCGAACCCACUCCCGUUGAAAAGGUAGGGGAUGACUUGUGGAUCGGAGUGAAAGGCUAAUCAAGCUCGGAGAUAGCUGGUUCUCCUCGAAAGCUAUUUAGGUAGCGCCUCAUGUAUCACUGUGGGGGUAGAGCACUGUUUCGGCUAGGGGGUCAUCCCGACUUACCAAACCGAUGCAAACUCCGAAUACCUACAAGUGCCGAGCAUGGGAGACACACGGCGGGUGCUAACGUCCGUCGUGAAAAGGGAAACAACCCAGACCGCCAGCUAAGGUCCCAAAGUUGUGGUUAAGUGGUAAACGAUGUGGGAAGGCUUAGACAGCUAGGAGGUUGGCUUAGAAGCAGCCACCCUUUAAAGAAAGCGUAAUAGCUCACUAGUCGAGUCGGCCUGCGCGGAAGAUGUAACGGGGCUCAAACCAUGCACCGAAGCUACGGGUAUCACCUUUUGGUGAUGCGGUAGAGGAGCGUUCUGUAAGCCUGUGAAGGUGAGUUGAGAAGCUUGCUGGAGGUAUCAGAAGUGCGAAUGCUGACAUGAGUAACGACAAUGGGAGUGAAAAACUCCCACGCCGAAAGACCAAGGUUUCCUGCGCAACGUUAAUCGACGCAGGGUUAGUCGGUCCCUAAGGCGAGGCUGAAAAGCGUAGUCGAUGGAAAACAGGUUAAUAUUCCUGUACUUCUGGUUACUGCGAUGGAGGGACGGAGAAGGCUAGGCCAGCUUGGCGUUGGUUGUCCAAGUUUAAGGUGGUAGGCUGAAAUCUUAGGUAAAUCCGGGGUUUCAAGGCCGAGAGCUGAUGACGAGUCGUCUUUUAGAUGACGAAGUGGUUGAUGCCAUGCUUCCAAGAAAAGCUUCUAAGCUUCAGGUAACCAGGAACCGUACCCCAAACCGACACAGGUGGUCGGGUAGAGAAUACCAAGGCGCUUGAGAGAACUCGGGUGAAGGAACUAGGCAAAAUGGCACCGUAACUUCGGGAGAAGGUGCGCCGGCUAGGGUGAAGGAUUUACUCCGUAAGCUCUGGCUGGUCGAAGAUACCAGGCCGCUGCGACUGUUUAUUAAAAACACAGCACUCUGCAAACACGAAAGUGGACGUAUAGGGUGUGACGCCUGCCCGGUGCCGGAAGGUUAAUUGAUGGGGUUAGCGCAAGCGAAGCUCUUGAUCGAAGCCCCGGUAAACGGCGGCCGUAACUAUAACGGUCCUAAGGUAGCGAAAUUCCUUGUCGGGUAAGUUCCGACCUGCACGAAUGGCGUAACGAUGGCGGCGCUGUCUCCACCCGAGACUCAGUGAAAUUGAAAUCGCUGUGAAGAUGCAGUGUAUCCGCGGCUAGACGGAAAGACCCCGUGAACCUUUACUGUAGCUUUGCACUGGACUUUGAGCCUGCUUGUGUAGGAUAGGUGGGAGGCUUUGAAGCGUGGACGCCAGUUCGCGUGGAGCCAUCCUUGAAAUACCACCCUGGCAUGCUUGAGGUUCUAACUCUGGUCCGUGAUCCGGAUCGAGGACAGUGUAUGGUGGGCAGUUUGACUGGGGCGGUCUCCUCCUAAAGAGUAACGGAGGAGUACGAAGGUGCGCUCAGACCGGUCGGAAAUCGGUCGUAGAGUAUAAAGGCAAAAGCGCGCUUGACUGCGAGACAAACACGUCGAGCAGGUACGAAAGUAGGUCUUAGUGAUCCGGUGGUUCUGUAUGGAAGGGCCAUCGCUCAACGGAUAAAAGGUACUCCGGGGAUAACAGGCUGAUACCGCCCAAGAGUUCAUAUCGACGGCGGUGUUUGGCACCUCGAUGUCGGCUCAUCACAUCCUGGGGCUGAAGCCGGUCCCAAGGGUAUGGCUGUUCGCCAUUUAAAGUGGUACGCGAGCUGGGUUUAGAACGUCGUGAGACAGUUCGGUCCCUAUCUGCCGUGGACGUUUGAGAUUUGAGAGGGGCUGCUCCUAGUACGAGAGGACCGGAGUGGACGAACCUCUGGUGUUCCGGUUGUCACGCCAGUGGCAUUGCCGGGUAGCUAUGUUCGGAAAAGAUAACCGCUGAAAGCAUCUAAGCGGGAAACUUGCCUCAAGAUGAGAUCUCACUGGGAACUUGAUUCCCCUGAAGGGCCGUCGAAGACUACGACGUUGAUAGGUUGGGUGUGUAAGCGCUGUGAGGCGUUGAGCUAACCAAUACUAAUUGCCCGUGAGGCUUGACCAU
rnacentral:rRNA from 1 species